CCCUUAGAUGUUCUGGGCUGCACGCGCGCUACACUGGUGCGUUCAGCGAGUUUAGCACCUUAACAGAUAUGUUUGGGUAAUCUUCUGAAAACGCACCGUGAUGGGGGUCGAUUAUUGUAAUUAUUAAUCGUCAACGAGGAAUUCCUAGUAAGUGUGAAUCAUCAGUUCGCGCUGAUUACGUCCCUGCCCUUUGUACACACCGCCCGUCGCUGCUACCGAUUGAGUGGUCCGGUGAAUUAUUCGGACCGGUGGACUGUGGGGAAACCCGCGGCCUGCUGGGAAGUCUUGUGAACCUUAUCACUUAGAGGAAGCAGAAGUCGUAACA
rnacentral:rRNA from 1 species